AACGCACCUUGCGCCCUUUGGUAUUCCGAAGGGCAUGCCUGUUUGAGUGUCAUGAAACUCUCACACCAGGGGUUUUUCCUCUGGUCGUGGAUGUGGUCGCUGCCGUUGGCUCGACCUAAUAGUCUCACACCGUGGUCUAAGUCUCCACAAGGUGUGCUCCAUCAGCUUUGGCUGAUACCUUUACACUCCGACCUCAAAUCAGGUAGGACUACCCGCUGAACUUAA
rnacentral:misc_RNA from 1 species